CUUAGAAUACUGGUAAUCGCUGUUAUAAAUGUAACAGAGGAAAGUCCGAACUCCAAAGAACAGUACACUUCCUAACGGGAAGAACUAAUUUUUUUAAAUUAGUAUGGAAAGUGCAACAGAAAGCAAACCGCCUUUCAAAUAGGUAAGGGUGAAAGGGUGGGGUAAGAGCCCACCGCGAAUUAAGUGAUUAAUUUGGCACGGCAAACCCUGUACGGAGCAAGGUUAAAUAAAAGUAUGAUUUCGACUUGUUCGGUUGAGUUAUCUAACAAAGGUAUGCAUACUUGGGUAAACCGCUUGAGGUAAUUGGCGACAAUUAUCCUAGAUAAAUGAUUACCUCCUCUGGUUUUUUAUCAGAGAAGACAGAAUUCGGCUUAUAGUAUUUUAAGUAAU
rnacentral:RNase_P_RNA from 1 species